ACUUUUACUUGGUGACUAAUUAUGGUUAUAAAGUACGUGUAACAUCUGUAUCCUUGAGUUCUAAGUAGACAAGAACCCAAGUCUAGUGGAUAAACCAUUGCUGUGUGGCUAGAGCGUGAUUAAUGACUUAUGAUCCCUUGGUUCUGCGUAUGUGGAUGAUUGUUCUUGGGUAGGUUCGCCCUACUUGGGAUGGUCGCAUGGCGGUCUGACAGACU